rnacentral:lncRNA from 1 species
AGACGAUCACUUGAUUUAGGAUCAAGGUUUGUUAAUGAAAAUAUUUUUGUGAUUUUUUGGUUAUUUGCAUGUUUUUGUGGUUUUUGAAUAAUGGCUAAACUAAACUAACGGAGCAAGAAAAUAAAACGUAGUAACCUAAGCAGAAAAAUAAAGCAUACACCCACACACGCACACAUGCACCUAAGUUAUUACAAAAAACCUAUUAUACAUGCUAUGGUCUGCGAGAAAGUAA